AUGUGGUUGGGUUUGGCGAGUAAUAGUAACACAUGUAAUGGGUUUAGUUUAGUGUGCAGGGGCUGUUGUUGUGUUUGGAGGGUGAAUCCUUAAUCCCUUAGUUAAGAAUUCAAAUGCAACACUGGUGUAGCUGUCUGGUUGAACAGAAAGCUAUCUGGGUUCAUGUAUACAAUUUUAAAUGCCUUUUUUCUGCCAAACCUAACGAAAAUGAUACAAUAAAAGUCUGAACCAGGCUGCCAGGGUAACUUCAACACGUUAAAGUAUUGUUGAAAGAAGCAUGCACCCAUCUUUCUUAUGUGCUUGAAUUGCCAAACAUUCCUAGAGGCUCCUUAUUGGGUCAAGCAAAUCAACCACGCAGAAGGAUUCUACCCUCUAAGGCCACUAUGAUCUAGUGGAUAUGGUAGUGUAAAGAAAUCCAAAUAAUGCUUCCCUUUGCUGGCUCACAUCAUCAUUGCAAGCCAAGGUAUGCAAACCAACCAUUACUCUUGUCCUAGCAUCAGUUGUAACUUAUAACAUACGAGCCGACCUUCAUUUUUCAGGAAUGCAAUUACAUGGUCUAAUGCCAAAUGUAGUUUCUAAGAGCUGAAACUAACCAAGCUUUAGAAACUGUUUGCUGAUGUUAAAAAGAUGAUGUGGCUGAUUCUUGUAUCAGCCAUAUUGCAUAUACAUUGGAGUCAUCUCUGCCAAAGAAACAUGGUCCUUCAUUUCCUAGUGUGCCGUAGAAGGAAGCUUUUGUCAAAAAUUUAAUGCUGCAAAGGUUAUUUCCAGACAUGAUGAACUUGUUCAUUAUCACUUGCAGGCCGAUUUGUUUCUAGCACCCCAGAUUCAUGCUGCACUUAAAUGGUUCAAAGUGGACAUGACUGAAUUUCCCCUUUUAUUAAGGUUGAAUGAUGCAUACAAUGAAUUGCCAGCAUUCCAAGAUGCUAUGAAAGAAAAACAGCCCGACUAUGUCCCAUCAUAGGUCCAAGACAGAUCUUGUGCCCAAGGAAUCUCAAUAAGGGCUGGACCGGCAUUUCAUCGGGUGGAACAUUGUUGUUAAGUGAACAUAAAUACUUGAUAAUCAGCGUGAACUUCUGCAAUUAUAUAGUCAUGUCUGUCCAAAGUUUCCAAGGACCGGAUUUCUUGAUUUCAAAUGAAUAUGUUUCUGUUUGCUUUAA